rnacentral:rRNA from 1 species
UACGGAGGGUGCAAGCGUUAUCCGGAUUUACUGGGUUUAAAGGGUGCGUAGGUGGGCAGGAAAGUCAGUGGUGAAAUCUCCGGGCUUAACCCGGAAACUGCCAUUGAUACUAUUUGUCUUGAAUACUUUGGAGGUAAGCGGAAUAUGUCAUGUAGCGGUGAAAUGCUUAGAUAUGACAUAGAACACCAAUUGCGAAGGCAGCUGGCUACACGAAUAUUGACACUCAGGCACGAAAGCGUGGGGAUCAAACAGG